UACGUAGGGGGGCAAGCGUUGUCCGGAUUCAUUGGGCGUAAAGAGCGUGUAGGCGGCCAGGUAGGUCGGUUGUGAAAACUGGAGGCUCAACCUUCAGACGUCGACCGAAACCAUCUGGCUAGAGUCCGGGAGAGGAGAGUGGAAUUCCUGGUGUAGCGGUGAAAUGCGCAGAUAUCAGGAGGAACACCGGUGGCGAAGGCGGUUCUCUGGGCCUGUACUGACGCUGAGGAACGAAAGCGUGGGGAGCGAACAGG
rnacentral:rRNA from 1 species